UCGGGAAACUGAGUAUAAUGAUCCAUAGUUCACUACGCCUGGAACGGUGAGUGGAUGAAAGCUCCGGCGGCAUAGGAUGGGCCUGCGGCGUAUCAGGUAGUAGGGGGUGUAACGUACCCUCUAGCCCUCUACGCGUACGGGUGUUGGGAGACAUAGCCCGGAGAUGGAUUCUGAGACACGAAUCCAGACCCUACGGGGUGCAGCAGGCGCGAAAACUUGGCAAUGCGAGAAAUCGUGACCAGGGAACUCCAAGUGCAUCGGGUAAGACCGGUGCUUUUCUUGACUCUAAAUAGGUCUUGGAAUAAGGGGUGGGUAAGGACGGUGCCAGCCGCCGCGGUAAUACCGGCGCCUCAAGUGGUAGUCGCUUUUAUUGGGCCUAAAACGUCCGUAGCCGGUCUGAUACAUUCGUGGGUAAAUCAACCAGCUCAACUGGUUGAAUUCUGCGAGGACGGUCAGACUUGGGACCGGGAGAGGUGUGGGGUACGCUCAGGGUAGGGGUAAAAUCCUGUCAUCCUGAGCGGACCACCUGUUGCGAAGGCGCCACACUAGAACGGAUCCGACGGUCAGGGACGAAGCCUAGGGGCACGAACCGGAUUAGAUACCCGGGUAGUCCUAGGUGUAAACGCUGUGGACUUGAUGUUGGGGGUGCUCCGAGCACUCUCAGUGUCGAAGCGAAGGUGAUAAGUCCACUGCCUGGGAAGUACGGUCGCAAGGCCGAAACUUAAAGGAAUUGGCGGGGGAGCUCCUCAACCUGAGGAUUGUGCGGUUUAAUUGGA
rnacentral:rRNA from 1 species